rnacentral:ribozyme from 1 species
AGAGAGAAGAAAAAAGAAAAAGAGAAGAAAAAAAUGUAAUAAGAUUUAUGAUAUAAAACUGCUACCACUGGUACACUCGACACUCGACGCUUUUCUCUUCGUUCCUCUCCUCUGUAUUUCUUU